AUGUCGCUCCAUCGUUUUUUUUGUCGUUCCCUGGUGGUGUUGCCGAGAUCUAGUUAUGGCUUCUGCAUGAUAUGCUGGAGUUGGGUAGUUUACCUCUACCCACCAGCCAUGGGUAAGGAGAAGACUCACAUCAACAUCGUGGUCAUUGGCCAUGUCGACUCUGGCAAGUCGACGACCACUGGCCACCUGAUCUACAAGCUUGGAGGCAUUGACAAGCGUGUCAUCGAGAGGUUCGAGAAGGAAGCCGCUGAGAUGAACAAGAGGUCUUUCAAGUACGCGUGGGUGCUUGACAAGCUCAAGGCCGAGCGUGAGAGAGGUAUCACCAUCGAUAUUGCUCUCUGGAAGUUCGAGACCACCAAGUACUACUGCACCGUCAUUGAUGCCCCUGGUCACCGUGACUUCAUCAAGAACAUGAUCACCGGUACCUCCCAGGCUGACUGUGCUGUUCUCAUCAUCGACUCCACCACUGGUGGUUUUGAGGCUGGUAUCUCCAAGGAUGGCCAGACACGUGAGCACGCCCUCCUUGCUUUCACUCUUGGAGUGAAGCAGAUGAUCUGCUGCUGCAACAAGAUGGACGCCACCACUCCCAAGUACUCAAAGGCGCGUUAUGAAGAAAUUGUCAAGGAGGUCUCUUCCUACCUGAAGAAGGUCGGCUACAACCCUGACAAGGUUCCCUUCGUCCCCAUCUCUGGGUUUGAGGGUGACAACAUGAUUGAGAGGUCCACCAACCUUGACUGGUACAAGGGCCCAACCCUUCUUGAGGCGCUUGACCAGAUCAACGAGCCCAAGAGGCCCUCAGACAAGCCCCUCCGUCUUCCCCUCCAGGACGUUUACAAGAUUGGUGGCAUUGGAACUGUGCCUGUUGGCCGUGUUGAGACUGGUGUCAUCAAGCCUGGUAUGGUUGUCACCUUUGGUCCCACUGGUCUGACAACUGAGGUCAAGUCCGUUGAGAUGCACCAUGAGUCUCUCCUGGAGGCGCUUCCUGGUGACAACGUUGGCUUCAAUGUCAAGAAUGUUGCCGUGAAGGAUCUGAAGCGUGGUUUUGUUGCAUCCAACUCCAAGGAUGACCCUGCCAAGGAGGCAGCCAACUUCACCUCCCAGGUCAUCAUCAUGAACCACCCUGGUCAGAUUGGCAACGGCUACGCCCCAGUGCUGGACUGCCACACCUCGCACAUUGCUGUCAAGUUUGCUGAGCUGGUGACCAAGAUCGACAGGCGAUCUGGUAAGGAGCUGGAGGCCCUGCCCAAGUUCCUCAAGAAUGGUGAUGCUGGCAUAGUGAAGAUGAUUCCCACCAAGCCCAUGGUUGUGGAGACCUUUGCUACUUACCCACCUCUUGGUCGUUUUGCUGUCCGUGACAUGAGGCAAACUGUGGCUGUUGGUGUCAUCAAGGGUGUGGAGAAGAAGGACCCAACCGGCGCCAAGGUGACCAAGGCUGCCAUCAAGAAGAAAUGA
rnacentral:rRNA from 1 species